rnacentral:rRNA from 1 species
UAGCUAGUUGGUAAGGUAACGGCUUACCAAGGCGAUGAUGCAUAGCCGAGUUGAGAGACUGAUCGGCCACAUUGGGACUGAGACACGGCCCAAACUCCUACGGGAGGCAGCAGUAGGGAAUCUUCCACAAUGGACGCAAGUCUGAUGGAGCAACGCCGCGUGAGUGAAGAAGGUUUUCGGAUCGUAAAGCUCUGUUGUUGGUGAAGAAGGAUAGAGGUAGUAACUGGCCUUUAUUUGACGGUAAUCAACCAGAAAGUCACGGGCUAACUACGUGCCAGCAGCCGCGUAAAU